GGUCUCAUAGCUCAGUUGGUAGAGCGUGUUGCUAUAACGCCAAGGUCGACGGUUCGACCCCGUCUGGGACCA
rnacentral:tRNA from 1 species